rnacentral:rRNA from 1 species
GAUGAACGCUAGCGACAGGCUUAACACAUGCAAGUCGAGGGGCAGCGGGGGUAGCAAUACCCGCCGGCGACCGGCGCACGGGUGAGUAACGCGUAUGCAACUUACCUAUCAGAGGGGGAUAACCCGGCGAAAGUCGGACUAAUACCGCAUGAAGCAGGGGCCCCGCAUGGGGAUAUUUGCUAAAGAUUCAUCGCUGAUAGAUAGGCAUGCGUUCCAUUAGGCAGUUGGCGGGGUAACGGCCCACCAAACCGACGAUGGAUAGGGGUUCUGAGAGGAAGGUCCCCCACAUUGGUACUGAGACACGGACCAAACUCCUACGGGAGGCAGCAGUGAGGAAUAUUGGUCAAUGGGCGUAAGCCUGAACCAGCCAAGUCGCAUGAGGGAUGAAGGUUCUAUGGAUCGUAAACCUCUUUUAUAAGGGAAUAAAGUGCGGGACGUGUCCCGUUUUGUAUGUACCUUAUGAAUAAGGAUCGGCUAACUCCGUGCCAGCAGCCGCGGUAAUACGGAGGAUCCGAGCGUUAUCCGGAUUUAUUGGGUUUAAAGGGUGCGUAGGCGGCCUUUUAAGUCAGCGGUGAAAGUCUGUGGCUCAACCAUAGAAUUGCCGUUGAAACUGGGGGGCUUGAGUAUGUUUGAGGCAGGCGGAAUGCGUGGUGUAGCGGUGAAAUGCUUAGAUAUCACGCAGAACCCCGAUUGCGAAGGCAGCCUGCCAAGCCAUGACUGACGCUGAUGCACGAAAGCGUGGGGAUCAAACAGGAUUAGAUACCCUGGUAGUCCACGCAGUAAACGAUGAUCACUAGCUGUUUGCGAUACACUGUAAGCGGCACAGCGAAAGCGUUAAGUGAUCCACCUGGGGAGUACGCCGGCAACGGUGAAACUCAAAGGAAUUGACGGGGGCCCGCACAAGCGGAGGAACAUGUGGUUUAAUUCGAUGAUACGCGAGGAACCUUACCCGGGUUUGAACGCAUUCGGACCGAGGUGGAAACACCUUUUCUAGCAAUAGCCGUUUGCGAGGUGCUGCAUGGUUGUCGUCAGCUCGUGCCGUGAGGUGUCGGCUUAAGUGCCAUAACGAGCGCAACCCCCGCCACUAGUUACUAACAGGUAAAGAUGAGGACUCUGGUGGGACUGCCAGCGUAAGCUGCGAGGAAGGCGGGGAGGACGUCAAAUCAGCACGGCCCUUACAUCCGGGGCGACACACGUGUUACAAUGGCGUGGACAAAGGGAAGCCACCUGGCGACAGGGAGCGAAUCCCCAAACCACGUCUCAGUUCGGAUCGGAGUCUGCAACCCGACUCCGUGAAGCUGGAUUCGCUAGUAAUCGCGCAUCAGCCAUGGCGCGGUGAAUAAAAGGCCGGGCCUUGCACU